GUAAUCUAAUUAAAUACCAAUUUAUGACUCCAACAAAUGAGAAGACACGGAACGAAAUGAGGCAGAAAUAAAAAUUAAGGUCAUGUGGCCUAAAUAAAAUCCUGUAGCUUAUCUACAACAGCUAUUUCAAAACAGCGGGAUGAGUCCCUGGAACAUGAAUUGGAAAGUUCAUGAAUUAACAAGAACACACUGUGAGCUCCCUAAGGAUGAGGACCAGCUCCACAAAAACUCGAUGCUGCUGCCCUGCCACUUGGCUUCCAGCUCUGCUGUAGAGACCCUCUGUGGCCCUCAUGCGGUGCAGAACAAGUCAGGAGGCAAUUACUGAUUCCUCUGAGCACCCCCCUAGAAUUUUCUCCAACAUCAUUUCAGCAAGAGAUAAAACCGAUUGGCUGCAUCUUGAACGUUUUUUCACAAAUUAUAAUACCACCAGGGCACCUGGGUGGCCCAGUAGUGGUUGAACAUCUGCCUUCAGCCCAGGGCAUGACCCCGGAGUCCUGGGAUCGAGUCCUGCAUCAGGCUCCCCCCAGGGAGCCUGCUUCUCCCUCUUCCUGUGUCUCUGCCUCUCUCUCUGGGUCUCUCAUGAAUAAAUAAAUAAAAUCUUUUUUAAAAAUUGUAAGAUCACCAAGACUCCUGUUUUAGAGAUGCGGAAACUUAAUGUUUAGAGAAGUUAAAGUGGAUUAGGGCCACACAUCUCGUAAGUGGUGAAACCAGUUAACAAAUGUAGGAACCCCUAUUCUUUGCCCCUUGAAUAUAUCCAGUUUAUCUCAGCCCCAGAAGGAUCAAUUUUUAUUUUUUUAAUUUAUUUUAUUUUUUUUGAGGGAUCAAUUUUUAAAAACACAUUUCCUGCAAGAUAACUAUUUAAGUCAUUUC
rnacentral:lncRNA from 12 species